rnacentral:sRNA from 1 species
GUAGCGCUUGCUGAGCGGCGGCGGCAACCGACGUACACAAGGGGGUUGAGCGUUCCGUGGGGAGAGUGCGAGGUCAGGCCAUGAACUUGGGAGAUGGUUUAAAGCUUGAAACUGAAUUACUGGAUGGAAAAACCAAGCUAAUAUUGUCUCCAUAUGAUGGGAAAUAAAGCCAAGAUUGCAAAAUGUCCUUUAAGAACAAAAACUGGGCACAUUCUAAAAUCAACACAAGAUACUUGUAUUGGGAGUGAAAAACUUUUGCAAAAGAAGACAGUUGGUUCAGAAACAUCACAGGCAAAAGGUGAAAAAAAUAGAAUGACUUUUUCAUCCACUAAGGAUUUAUGUAAACAAUGUAUAGAUAAAGACUGUCUUCAUAUCCAGAAAGAGAUUUCACCUGCAACCCCUAAUAUGCAGAAGACUAGAAACACCGUAAAUACAUCUCUAGUAGGUAAACAGAAGCCUCACAAAAAACACAUCACAGCUGAAAACAUGAAGAGCAGUUUGGUGUGUCUAACACAAGAGCAACUACAACAGAUUUUGAUGACUGUAAACCAAGGAAAUAGAUCUCUUUCCCUGACUGAGAAUGGAAAGGAGGCAAAAAGUCAAUAUAGUCUACAUUUAAACAGUAUUUCUAAUCAGCCAAAGGAUGAGAACAUUAUGGGAUUAUUUAAAAAAACUGAAAUGGUUUCAUCUGUCCCAGCUGAAAAUAAAUCUGUCUUAAAUGAACAUCAGGAGACAUCUAAACAG